CAGGCUAGAGUCUUGUAGAGGGGGGUAGAAUUUCAGGUGUAGCGGUGAAAUGCGUAGAGACCUGAAGGAAUACCAGUGGCGAAGGCGGCCCCCUGGACAAAGACUGACGCUCAGAUGCGAAAGCGUGGGUAGCAAACAGGAUUAGAUACCCUGGUAGUCCACGCCGUAAACGCUGUCUACUUGGAGGUUGAGGUUUUAGACUUUGGCUUUCGGCGCUAACGCAUUAAGUAGACCGCCUGGGGAGUACGGCCGCAAGGUUAAAACUCAAAUGAAUUGACGGGGGCCCGCACAAGCGGUGGAGCAUGUGGUUUAAUUCGAUGCAACGCGAGGAACCUUACCUACUCUUGACAUCCAGCGAAGCCUUUAGAGAUAGAGGCGUGCCUUCGGGAGCGCUGAGACAGGUGCUGCAUGGCUGUUGUCAGCUCGUGUUGUGAAAUGUUGGGUUAAGUCCCGCAACGAGCGCAACCCUUAUCCUUGUUUGCCAGCACGUAAUGGUGGGAACUCCAGGGAGACUGCCGGUGAUAAACCGGAGGAAGGUGGGGACGACGUCAAGUCAUCAUGGCCCUUACGAGUAGGGCUACACACGUGCUACAAUGGCAGAUACAGAGGGCAGCGAGACAGCGAUGUUUAGCGAAUCCCUUAAAGUUUGUCGUAGUCCGGAUUGGAGUCUGCAACUCGACUCCAUGAAGCCGGAAUCGCUAGUAAUCGUGGAUCAGAAUGCCACGGUGAAUACGUUCCCGGGCCUUGCACACACCGCCCGU
rnacentral:rRNA from 1 species